UAACAAGAUUCGUAACGGCCAUACA
rnacentral:piRNA from 1 species